UGGGGAAUAUUGGACAAUGGGCGAAAGCCUGAUCCAGCCAUGCCGCGUGUGUGAAGAAGGUCUUCGGAUUGUAAAGCACUUUAAGUUGGGAGGAAGGGCAGUAAGCGAAUACCUUGCUGUUUUGACGUUACCGACAGAAUAAGCACCGGCUAACUCUGUGCCAGCAGCCGCGGUAAUACAGAGGGUGCAAGCGUUAAUCGGAAUUACUGGGCGUAAAGCGCGCGUAGGUGGUUCGUUAAGUUGAAUGUGAAAGCCCCGGGCUCAACCUGGGAACUGCAUCCAAAUCUGGCGAGCUAGAUUAGGGCAGAGGGCGGUGGAAUUUCCUGUGUAGCGGUGAAAUGCGUGGAUAUAGGAAGGAACACCAGAGGCGAGGGCGACCACCUGGGCUCAUACUGAAUCUGAGGUGCGAAAGCGUGGGGAGCAAACAGG
rnacentral:rRNA from 1 species